rnacentral:rRNA from 1 species
UACAGAGGAUGCAAGCGUUAUCCGGAAUGAUUGGGCGUAAAGCGUCUGUAGGUGGCUUUUUAAGUCCGCCGUCAAAUCCCAGGGCUCAACUCUGGACAGGCGGUGGAAACUACCAAGCUCGAGUACGGUAGGGGCAGAGGGAAUUUCCGGUGGAGCGGUGAAAUGCGUAGAUAUCGGAAAGAACACCAACGGCGAAAGCACUCUGCUGGGCCGACCCUGACACUGAGAGACGAAAGCUAGGGGAGCGAAUGGG